rnacentral:misc_RNA from 1 species
UACGUAGGGUCCGAGCGUUGUCCGGAGUUACUGGGCGUAAAGCGCGCGCAGGCGGCUCGUCAAGCAUGGCGUGAAAGCCCCCGGCUCAACCGGGGAGGGUCGUCGUGGACUGGCGGGCUUGAGGGCGGUAGGGGCUGGUGGAAUUCCCGGUGUAGUGGUGAAAUGCGUAGAGAUCGGGAGGAACACCCGUGGCGAAGGCGGCCAGCUGGGCCGACCCUGACGCUGAGGCGCGAAGGCGUGGGGAGCGAACGGG